AACGAACGCUGGCGGCAUGCCUAACACAUGCAAGUCGAACGAGACCUUCGGGUCUAGUGGCGCACGGGUGCGUAACGCGUGGGAACCUGCCCUUAGGUUCGGAAUAACUCCCCGAAAGGGGUGCUAAUACCGGAUAAUUUCUUCGGACCAAAGAUUUAUCGCCUUUGGAUGGGCCCGCGUUGGAUUAGCUAGUUGGUAGGGUAAAAGCCUACCAAGGCGACGAUCCAUAGCUGGUCUGAGAGGAUGAUCAGCCACACUGGGACUGAGACACGGCCCAGACUCCUACGGGAGGCAGCAGUGGGGAAUAUUGGACAAUGGGCGAAAGGCUGAUCCAGCAAUGCCGCGUGAGUGAUGAAGGCCUUAGGGUUGUAAAGCUCUUUUACCCGGGAUGAUAAUGACAGUACCGGGAGAAUAAGCUCCGGCUAACUCCGUG
rnacentral:rRNA from 1 species